rnacentral:rRNA from 1 species
UACGAAGGGGGGCUAGCGUUGUUCGAUGAAUACUGGGCGUAAAGCGCGCGCAGGCGGUCUUCCAAGUCAGUGGUGAAAGCCUGGAGCUCAACUCCAGAACUGCCAUUGAAACUGUUAGACUUGAGUACGAGAGAGGUGAGUGGAAUUCCCAGUGUAGAGGUGAAAUUCGUAGAUAUCAGGAGGAACACCGGUGGCGAAGGCGGGUCUCUGGGCCGAUACUGACGCUGAGGAGCGAAAGCGUGGGGAGCGAACAGG